rnacentral:misc_RNA from 1 species
UCCGGUUUGUCACCGGCAGUCUCGCAUGAGUCCCCAACUAAAUGCUGGCAACAUGCGACGGGGGUUGCGCUCGUUGCGGGACUUAACCCAACAUCUCACGACACGAGCUGACGACAGCCAUGCACCACCUGUGAUCGCGCCCCGAAGGGAGAGUGUGUUUCCACACCUGUCACUGACAUGUCAAGCCCAGGUAAGGUGGGGAUGACGUUUACCGACAGCU